GGCCUUUUAGGUAAUUGCUGGGUUUCCCUAACGAGCCGCUCUCCUACGAAGCGUAUAGCACCGGGGGAAGGCCUUCGUCCCGCGGGGUCUCGCCCGCUGCUGGCCUUGCGCUGCGCAGGGCGCCCAAGUCUGGGCUCCGGGUCAGCACGUGGCCCGAAAACAGGCCCACGGGAGCCCUCGGCCCCGUCGGUCCCGCUCUGGUUUCCAGCCAGCCUAGGGGAAAGCACAACCCAAAAUCUGUAUCGAUGCGUUGAAGCAGGGCUUGUCGUCCGAGGGGUCGGUUCCCUUCCGCCGCCCGCAGCUGCGGGACGAAGGGGAAUCGCCCUUCGGGGGAUUGCUGGGGGAUUUAGCGACCGACCCAGGAGGCGCCUUGACACGGAGCCGCCGGUUCCCCUCCUGCCUCAGCACCGAACCGGCAUUGCUGCAGGUAAUCAGCGCUCCGUGACACGGGGACCUGCCUCGGCGAGGCGUCGUCCCCGGCGGGCACGGGGAGAGCAGCGCGCCUCGGCUCAGCCGGGCGCGGAGAGAGCGGCACCGGGGGCCGGUGACUCAGGGCUCCGAGGUUUGUUCCCCGCUCUCGCACUUCCCCCCGCGGCCGGCCCAACUUGUGCCUUCCUGCCUCGCUUCCUUAUCUGCCCGCUGGAGAUAACCGCGCUGCCCCGGAGCGCGUUCGCCUGCCGGGGCUCGGAGGGGAGGCGGGCGCCCUCCUCCUGCGCCCGCGAGUUGCCGUCAAACCCCGUUUGGUGGGGCGCUGGAAGUCGCUGCUCAGCCGGGAGCAGGGGGGAAGUUUUCUUUGGCGCCUUCGGGAGGAGGUGGCGAAGGGCAGGGCUCGAGCUGUCGUUUCCCAAGCGCCUUCUUCUGCCCCUUCAGCGAUGGAGCUUGGAUCUGAAGGAGGGUUUGGUUCGGUUCUCCUGCACUCGUGUGGGCUCCGGACGGCUCAGGAAUCACGGGGGUUUUGGUGCUGCUCGUCAGGAGGCUGCGGGGAGCAGUGAGGCUGGCCAGUGGGGACGGCAGCCCCGCUGCGUCGGUGCUCGGGAACGGGGCAGGGUGACCCCGAAUCGGUGGUUGUGUACAGAGCAGGGAGGUGGGCUGUAG
rnacentral:lncRNA from 1 species